UGGAGGGGAGCGGGUAAAUGGGAAGUUGGAAUUUAGUUUGUAUAAGGUAUAGUUUGGGCCGAGGCAGAAAAGAAAGAGAGACGACCUCAGCGGAGCCUCCUCCUCUCCAUUAUUGAACACCUUGAAGGCUACUUCUAGAAGUCUCUUUCCGGGGGGCCUCAGGGCCCUUCUCUAGUUGUCGAAGCUUGCAUCUAAUGUCAGGGGCGGACUGGCUGAUGAACUGAACUUGAAGGUUUCAGCACCAAGAAUGUAAGGAGGGCCGAGGCAGAAAAGAAGGAGAGACGACCUCAACGGAGACCCAAAGACUCCUUCAGUUUGUAAGAUGAAGAGAGUUCUGGAGAUGGAUGGCAAAAAUGGUUACAUAACCUUGCUGUGAUUUUCUCAACGGUCAUCAUUCAAGAGCCAUCCUCAGAUUUUCUGUUCUGCGUUGAAGAACUUCCCAAUAUAUUUAGCGGAUAUUCUCUACAUGUCUUAUCUUAGUCUUAUCCUGAUUAAUA